CGGGGACAGGGUGACAGGUGGUGCAUGGUUGUCGUCAGCUCGUGUCGUGAGAUGUUGGGUUAAGUCCCGUAACGAGCGCAACCCUUGUCCUAGUUACCAGCACGUUAUGGUGGGCACUCUAAGGAGACUGCCGGUGACAAACCGGAGGAAGGUGGGAUGACGUCAAGUCAUCAUGGCCCUUACGGCCUGGGCUACACACGUGCUACAAUGGUCGGUACAAAGGGUUGCCAAGCCGCGAGGUGGAGCUAAUCCCAUAAAACCGAUCGUAGUCCGGAUCGCAGUCUGCAACUCGACUGCGUGAAGUCGGAAUCGCUAGUAAUCGUGAAUCAGAAUGUCACGGUGAAUACGUUCCCGGGCCUU
rnacentral:rRNA from 1 species